AUUGGACGCUGGCGGCAUGCCUUACACAUGCAAGUCGAACGGCAGCAUGGAGAGCUUGCUCUCUGAUGGCGAGUGGCGAACGGGUGAGUAAAGCAUCGGAACGUACCGUGUAGUGGGGGAUAACGUAGCGAAAGUUACGCUAAUACCGCAUACGCACUGAGGUGGAAAGCAGGGGAUCGCAAGACCUUGCGCUAUACGAGCGGCCGAUGUCAGAUUAGCUAGUGGGUAGGGUAAAGGCCUACCAAGGCGACGAUCUGUAGCGGGUCUGAGAGGAUGAUCCGCCACACUGGGACUGAGACACGGCCCAGACUCCUACGGGAGGUAACAGUGGGGAAUUUUGGACAAUGGGGGCAACCCUGAUCCAGCCAUGCCGCGUGAGUGAAGAAGGCCUUCGGGUUGUAAAGCUCUUUCGGCCGGGAAGAAAUCGCACAGGCUAAUACUCUGUGUGGAUGACGGUACCGGCAUAAGAAGCACCGGCUAACUACGUGCCAGCCGCCGCCGUAA
rnacentral:rRNA from 1 species